CCUGAUUUCUUCUAUGAUCCCAAGUAUGCUUUGCGUCUUUGCCUCAAGGAAAAGCGAAUGCGUGCCUGUGUUCAUAUAUACAGCAUGAUGGCCAUGCAUGAAGAAGCGGUUGCUCUUGCUCUGCAGGUUGACCCUGAGCUUGCUAUGGCUGAAGCUGACAAGGUUGAAGAUGAUGAAGACUUGAGAAAAAAGCUUUGGCUAAUGGUUGCCAAGCAUGUUAUUGAACAGGAAAAGGGAACUAAAAGGGAGAACAUACGGAAAGCAAUAGCGUUUCUCAAGGAAACUGAUGGCCUUUUAAAGAUUGAGGAUAUAUUACCUUUCUUUCCAGACUUUGCCCUAAUUGAUGACUUCAAGGAGGCUAUUUGCUCAUCAUUGGAGGACUACAACAAGCAAAUUGAACAACUAAAACAGGAGAUGAAUGAUGCCACACAUGGUGCUGACAACAUAAGAAAUGAUAUUAGUGCACUUGCUCAAAGAUAUGCUGUCAUUGAUCGAGAUGAGGAAUGUGGGGUUUGUAAGCGCAAAAUCUUAAUUGUGGGUGGGGACUACCGCAUGUCUCGGGGCUAUACAUCAGCAGGACCAAUGGCUCCCUUCUACGUAUUUCCAUGCGGGCAUGCCUUCCAUGCACAAUGCUUGAUUGCCCAUGUGACACGUUGUACCAAUGAAACUCAGGCUGAAUAUAUACUGGAUCUGCAGAAGCAACUUACUUUUUUGGUUGAGGGAAGUAGGAAGGACUUGAAUGGUGGUAUAACAGAGGACUUCAAUGCUAGCACAACCCCUGUAGAUAAGAUCAGUUCUAUUUGUUUUCUGAUCAGCAAAGCAUGUAGCGGUAAUAUGGAGCAGUUUGCUAUAAUUCGAGGAAAAAUUUUUUGCAUUGCUGUACAUUACGUACAGUGGUAGACUAUUUACGUGUUUCAUAGUUUGUAAGAGCCUAAUCUCUAGGCUCUCUGGUGAUUAUUUUCUAUGCUGAUUGGUGAAUACAAUUUCCACUGUUUUUGUUGCCAAUGCUCUGUUAUAUUUGAUUUUCUUUGCAUACACACUUAAUUGUACCAUGUCAUGAUUUUAAAAGCUUCUUAAAGUAAUAUUGCAUUAUUACUUGGCUUUCUCGCAUUGGAAUUUGGAGCUCCGCACGCAGUUGGAAGAUGCAAUAGCCAGCGAAUGCCUAUUUUGUGGUGAGUUGACGAUCAAAAUGAUCUCUUUGCCCUUAAUUCUCCCUGAGGAAGCACAGGAAGUGGGUUCAUGGGAGAUAAAACCACAUAACCUUGGAAGCCAGAGGACCCUCUCUUUGCAAGUGUGAUCAUAUUCUAUUUGCAAGUGUGCUAUGUAAUUCCAGAUGCCAGUGUGUAUAUGAGGAGCUUGAGUCCCUGUGAUGUGGCUCUGCCCGAGUCUCGGUUUUAAUUGGGUCAUGUGACUCCCUAUAGAGACGUCAUUUUUGUUUUCUUAAUUUUUUUUUUGUUUAUUGUUUUCCUUUGAGUUAGCACUUGGCCUUUCCUCAUAAUUUAAUUAUCAAAAGGACUGAGUUGUUCUACUGUAAACGAUAAUUCAUUCAUAUGGAAUGCCCGUUUCCUUGUAUUGUUUAAAUGUGAUUUAUGAAACUUUUGUAAAUUUAUUUUGUUGAACACCUAAAAUACUAAGUAAAUUAAUGAUUUCAUUCGGU
rnacentral:misc_RNA from 1 species